rnacentral:rRNA from 1 species
GGCUUAGAGUUUGAUCAUGGCUCAGGACGAACGCUGGCGGCGCGCCUAACACAUGCAAGUCGAACGGAGUUAAUUUUGUUGAAGUUUUCGGAUGGAUACGAAGUCAACUUAGUGGCGAACGGGUGAGUAACGCGUGAGUAACCUGCCCCGAAGUGGGGGACAACAGUUGGAAACGACUGCUAAUACCGCAUAAGCCCACGGUAUCGCAUGAUACUGAGGGAAAAGGACUUCGGUUUGCUUCGGGAUGGACUCGCGUCCAAUUAGCUAGUUGGUGAGGUAACGGCCCACCAAGGCGACGAUUGGUAGCCGGACUGAGAGGUUGAACGGCCACAUUGGGACUGAGACACGGCCCAGACUCCUACGGGAGGCAGCAGUGGGGGAUAUUGCACAAUGGGGGAAACCCUGAUGCAGCGACGCCGCGUGGAGGAAGAAGGUUUUCGGAUUGUAAACUCCUGUCGUACGGGACGAUAAUGACGGUACCGUACAAGAAAGCCACGGCUAACUACGUGCCAGCAGCCGCGGUAAAACGUAGGUGGCAAGCGUUGUCCGGAAUUACUGGUGUAAAGGGAGCGCANGCGGGGCGGCAAGUUGGAAGUGAAAUCUAUGGGCUCAACCCAUAAACUGCUUCCAAAACUGCUGGUCUUGAGUAGUGCAGAGGUAGGCGGAAUUCUCGGCGUAGCGGUGGAAUGCGUAGAUAUCGGGAGGAACACCAGUGGCGAAGCGGCUACUGGGCACCAACUGACGCUGAGGCUCGAAAGCAUGGGUAGCAACAGGAUUAGAUACCCUGGUAGUCCAUGCCGUAAACGAUGAUUACUAGUGUUGGAGGAUUGACUCCUUCAGUGCGCAGUUACACAUAGUAAUCACUGGGG